AGAGAUGGAUUGGUGCCUUCGGGAACUCUGACACAGGUGCUGCAUGGCUGUCGUCAGCUCGUGUCGUGAGAUGUUGGGUUAACGUCCCGUAACGAGCGCAACCCUUGUCCUUAGUUACCAGCACGUUAUGGUGGGCACUCUAAGGAGACUGCCGGUGACAAACCGGAGGAAGGUGGGGAUGACGUCAGGUCAUCAUGGCCCUUACGGCCUGGGCUACACACGUGCUACAAUGGUCGGUACAAAGGGUUGCCAAGCCGCGAGGUGGAGCUAAUCCCAUAAAACCGAUCGUAGUCCGGAUCGCAGUCUGCAACUCGACUGCGUGAAGUCGGAAUCGCUAGUAAUCGUGAAUCGGAAUGUCACGGUGAAUACGUUCCCGGGCCUU
rnacentral:rRNA from 1 species